CCCACCUUACAUGAGCCAAUGACAAAAAGCUGUGGACUGGAAGCAAAAUGAAAGCUCAUAUGGCUUCAAGUAAACAUAAACUAAGAUAUGAAAUGAAAAUGCCAACCAGGGAUUUGUCACGUUCUUGGCUGAGGUCAUGAAGUUUAACCAAUGUAAAUCAACUGCCACAAUAAGAAGGCCAAGAGAGCUCAAAAGCCACAUCAGCCAGCACUGAUCUGACAUCCUUGCCAAGCAGAAAGGCAGCCAAAGGACACUGCUGGUUUAUAUCACAAGCACAUUUAUGAAGAAAGAUUAAAGACCACCAGAAGCAACACUUCACCAAACAGUGAAAAAGAGUUGAGAAGAAAGGCCUGUGGAGAACUUGGAGUUCAGAUACACCAGAUUAUUACAAGGGCCCAUAUAGAAGAAACAAGAAAUGGAACAAUAAUAAAUGUGAAAAGACUAGAUCUGCUGGCAUUUAUAUAGCACUCUUCUCAUCAGUAACAAUUAGUAACCAAAUUUGAACAGUACUAACCUUUACCUGAUAUACUAUUUGAGGAAGGGGCUGUGAUAUUUAAGGAAUGAAGAUGAGAAUGAAGACUCCACCAAAUACAUACAGUACAAAACAGUUAUUAAAGUGAUUAAGUAAUUUUAGCUGUAUUCACAGUCUAAGAGACCAAGAACCCUAACAAGGCAAAACCCCCAAAGCAGAAAUCCCUAACUCAUUCAUGCAGCAUACCCUCUGCUCCAAGGCAGCACUUUCUGGCAGGGUGGACAAGCCAGCUGACCGAUGGGCUUGCAAAAGAACUCAACUCUGCUUUUCCACUCCUACUCUCCAUGCUGAGGAAAACCAAAAGGCUGAGGCUUACUCUGGCUGGGAGUGCCAUAUGGCAGUUCUAUGUGCUAACAGCAGUGCUUGGCCGGGGACUGAGGAGGGAACUGGUGCGGUGGGCUUAGGCAGUUCUAUUUCCCCAGAAUUUAUUUGGGGGCAGAGACUGGCGCUGAUGAAAUGUGAAUUCCCCAGCUUGAAAGGAAGAUGAGAGAGCUUUGAGAUCCAGCUUUCAAGGUUACUACAAUCAAAGGGGAAUGGGUCAGAAAAUGAGUGAUAGGAGUAUAUGUGGAAAAAAAAAGAUUGAAAUUACCAAAGAUCUCAGGAAAAUACAUUGAACAUAAACAGAUAAAUCAAAGGGGAAGAUAUUAAUAACACAAGAGAAGAUGUCCUCCAGAUCAGCCAAAUGAAUAAAGACAGCUAUGAAUAAACAUUUCAAGACAAAAGAAAAUGAAACAACACCUUGUGCAUUCUCAAGAGAUCAUGGAAUGACAGCAGCAUGUUCCUGAAUGGCUAACAAAAGGCAAAAGAUUUAUGAAAGAAGAAUUUAUGACAUGCACAGCAGAUAUAAUCAGCAAAAUAGAAAAAUCUAGAUCCAUAGUAGCAAACCUCACAAAAGAAAUAGAAGAGAUACCGACAGAUUAGGUAUGCAAUGCACAGAAGUGAAGGACAAUCUAGAAGAGAAGCAAAAAGCAAUAAUGUUAAAAGAAAAAUGAUCACAAUACAAGCAAAACAUAUUGACCUCAAAGAUAGAAAGUGUAGGGACAACUUAAAACAGGUAUCCCAAGAGAACAUGACAAAUCAAAAAGUCUGAACACAAUGCAAGAAAUAAUACAAGGAAAUUGCCCAGAACUUCUGAGCACAGAAAACAAAGUGUCAGUCAAAAGAAUCCAUAGUAUCUUCUCCAGAGGAAAAAAAAAACUAUCUUGCAAACUCCAACACACAUGAUGGGUAAUUUAACAAUGCCAACGAUAACAAAUUCUGUAAACGACCAGGAAAAGAAUAUUCAAAUAUAUGUGUAUGUGUGUAUGUAUACAUGUAUGCAUGCAUGUAUAUGUGUGUGUAUUCGUGUGUGUGUAUGAAUUCAAACAAUGUAACCCACCAGAAACUGAAGGAUCAAUGUGUACUGAGAAGCAACGGAACACUGAACCUGUUCUAUCAAUCUCAGUACACCUUGAGAUAGAUAUGUAUUAUUUGUCAUUCUCAAUAUGUGAUGGCUGUCUCCUUUUCUAGUCAUAAAUUGCCUUGAUAAAUGUCUUUUAUACCACACCUCUUAGCAAACCCAAAUAAUUUUUGAUGAUACAUCUAUAGUAUGCAUAUCCAUGUAUCUUUCCAUUGCCAACAAAUAAGAUUAGAGAUAAAAGGCUAAAAAAGUUAACUACCAAGGGAAGCAUCACACUGGCAAACUCAUUUAUUCUGAAGUAUAAUCAUUCAAAUCACUCGAUAAGUGAUCAACACCAGAUAGCAAUUACAAUAAGAAUAAUAAUACCUCACUUCACAAUUCUGCCUAGGGUCAGUUGUAUUUGCUUCCAACUGCAAGAAUGGAAAAAGUAGAUAUGAAUGUUUGUCACAUAUUACUCAUGCGCAAAACUUAAUGGAAACAUUGGCUUUGAUCUUAAGAAAUUGUUAUGAAGGCAUUUGAUUAACAGCAAUGGCUUCAUAUGAUAUGUGAUGAUUUUUAAAAAUUUUUAAAUAUGGGUGACUUCAUUAUAAAGGAAUUUCAUUCUUGGAGAAGUUAGAGCACCACAU